rnacentral:ncRNA from 1 species
UUGUAAGUUGAUUCUGCUUAGUUCAGUUGUGUUAGAAAUUAUUCAUUACAUGCUAGUUUUUGCGUGAUUUUUUGUUCCUUAAUGGAAAAAUUUUUUAUUCGCAGUUUUUGGUUUUAUUUAUUUAGAUUUAAUCUAGAAUUAGUAAAUUUCUUUUAAGAUUGUUUAAUAUCGUGCCAGCAAACGCGGUUACACGAUUAAUCUUAUUCAAUUUUUUUGUUUAUAUUUAUAUUGUUGGUUGGGUAUUUUUUGAAUUAUUAUUAGGUGAAAUUUGUAAAUUUUAUUAUUUACCCUGGUGAUAGAUUAUAAGAAAAUCAAAUUUUAAACUAGGAUUAGAUACCCUAUUAUUUUGAUUGUAAUUUUAUUAAACAUAAUACUAAUAGUUAAGGUCUUUAAAUUAAAAGAAUUUGGCGGUAGUUUAAAUUUUUCAGAGGAACCUGUUCUUUAAUCGAUAUUCCACGUUGAAUUUUACUUAAAUUUAUUGUUUAUAUACCUCUGUCAUUGAAUGUAUUAUAAGAUUAUAUUUUCUUAAAUUAUUAUUUAAAUAAUGUCAGGUCAAGGUGUAGCUAUAUUUAAGCUUGAAAUGGGUUACAUUUAAUUAAUAUUGAUUGGAUUUUGUAGUUGGAAUUUACUUAUUUCAAUGAAAUAGGAUUUGAAAGUAAAAUUGUUUUAUUUAUUCAUUUUGAUUAUAUCCCUAUUCUAUGCACACAUCGCCCGUCACUCCCAUUAUUAUUAAAAUGGGAUAAGUCGUAACAAAGUAAUUUUACUGGAAAGUGAUGUUUGAUUUAU